rnacentral:lncRNA from 1 species
UCCAGCUCUAGUUUUGAAAAGUCUUGGCCCCCAACCUAAAAAAAAAAAUAAUAANNNNNNNNNNNNNNNNNNNNNGGCCCCCAACCAAAAAAAAAAAAAAAAAAAAAAAAAAAAAAAAAAAAAAAAAAAGAGAAGAAAAAGGGGGCUAGCAAAGUUGUUAGGAGCUGAGAGACAUUUUGAGGUUGUGAAAAAUCCCUUAUAAAUUUCAAGUAAAAAGAGCUGAUGUUUUUAGAAUCUUUUGGUGAGAGGUGUGAGUUGGGUUUGACAUUUGAGAGUGAAUGUGUAACUUAUAUGUUUGGGAAAAGGGUAGAACAAUGGAGAUUGAGCAUUGUAUGCAUGAGUUGGUCCCUUUCUUAGAUAUAUUAUGUGCAAUGUCAAGGCUACUUGUUUUGAGAGUAAACCACCUUAAAGAUCAUAUGUUUUGAACCUCUUGAAUCACUAGAAUAAAAGCCUUCCCUUACCCAACCAAAUGACUUGGACCAACUGACCAUUUGCAAGAAUUCACUUGAUAUCUUAUGCUUAAUGAAUGUGAGAGUUGGCAGAUCU